rnacentral:rRNA from 1 species
GAUGAACGCUGGCGGCGUGCUUAACACAUGCAAGUUGAACGAAGUGGCGGAUGGGCGAGUAACAUGUGAGGAACCUGCCUUUCACAGGGGAAUAACACUGGGCAACAAGUGCUAAUACCGCAUAGUGAAAGAUGGCCUAGCUCCUGAUUAGCUAGUAGGUGAGGUAACGGCUCACCUAGGUGCUGAUCAGUAGCCGGACUGAAGGUUGAUCGGCCUCAUGGGGACUGAGACACGGCCCAGACGCCUACGGGAGGCAGCAGUGGGGGAGAUUGCACAAUGGAGAAAGCCUGAUGCAGCGACGCCGCGUGGGGGAUGAAGGCUUUGGGGUUGUAAACCUAUUGCCAUCGAACAGAGGAGGUGGAGAAGAAGCGCCGGCUAACUACGGGCCAGCAGCCGCGGUAAUC